GAAACUCGCCUAUAUGAAGUCGGAAUUGCUAGUAAUCGCAGAUCAGCAUGCUGCGGUGAAUACGUUCCCGGGCCUUGUACACACCGCCCGUCACACCAUGAGAGUCGAUAACACCCGAAGCCUGUAGUCUAACCAUAAGGGGGACGCAGUCGAAGGUGGGAUUGAUAAUUAGGGUGAAGUCGUAACAAGGUACC
rnacentral:rRNA from 1 species